GGAAACAAAUGGGAAGACCAGAACAGUGAAAGUCAUUUCAAUAAUUCUGGAAAAAAUUUAUGAAGUCCUAUGGGAGAAAGACUCUGUGAAUGUAAAGAAGGUAGUCAUUGUGGAGAAAUAUUCGGCCAGAUUCCAAAUCUGAACCUGAAGAAGAAAAUUUCUGCUGAUGUAAAUUCAUGUGAAUGCAGAGUGUGUGGACAAGUCUUCACAUGUCCUUCAUCCCUUAAUAGGCACAUCUUAUCUCAUUCUGGACACAAACUACAUGCAUGGGAGAAACGUGGGGUGAAGCCAUACAAAUGUAAACAAUGUGAGAAAACCUUCAUUUCUCUCACAAAUGUCCAAAGACACAUGGUAACACACACUGGUAACAGGCCUCAUAAAUGUAAGAAAUGUGGGAAGACAUUUAAGUUUCUCUAUUUACUUCAAAGACACAAAGUAAUUUACAACGGAGAAAAACCCUGUGAAUGGAAGAAAGGUGGUAAAGCCUUGAGAUUUUGCAGUUAUUUUCAAAAACAUAAAAGAACUCACAGUGGGGAAAAACCUUAUAAAUGUCAGAAAUGUGAGAAAGCCUUUGGACAUUCUGGUUACCUUCAUAACCAUAAAGGUGCUCAUGCUGAAGAGAAACCCCGUGAAUGUAGGAAAUGUGGGAAACGAUUCAGUUUUUGUAGUUACUUUCAAAGACAUAAA
rnacentral:lncRNA from 1 species